UUACUCGUCGUUACUGGGCGUAUAGGAUACGUAGAUGGUUCUAAACAUGCUAUUUACUGAAACGAUUUUGUUAGGGGGUGGUAAUUUAGGUACUUGGUUUAGUUAAGGGCGGCACACAGGUGUAUGUUAGCGAUAAAAUGCAGAAAAUAUAUGCUGGUUUCCGAAAGUGAAAACAUGCCGCUAUAACUAAUCGACAUUGAGGUAUGAAGGUAUGGGUGUCGAUCGGGAUUAGAGACCCCAGUAGUCCAUACUACAAAAGAUGAGUAUUCCAAUAGCACAAACUUGGAAGCUAACGCGAUAAAUACUCCGCCUGGGGAGUACGGCCGCAAGGUUAAAACUUAAGAGAUUUGGCGGGAAUUUGUUCGAACGGUGGAACAUGUGGUUUAAUUCGAUAAUCCACGAAAAAUCUUACCAGUGUUGGAAUACACUAGAAUCGAAGGAGUAACGUCAUAGAUCGAUUUUUUAGUGUUAACACGGUGUUGCAUGGCUGUCGUCAGUUCGUGCUGUGAAGUGUAGAGUUAAGUCUUAUAAACGAACAAAAUCUCUCGAAUUUUGUGGUUAGGUUGUUUUAUUUUUUUGCAACUUAAUUUUAAAAAUUUGAUAUAAAUUGUUUGGUGUAAGAUUUGGAAAGUUAUUUUUACUUUCCGAUUUAUUUAUCGUCGAUAUUUGCUUAUUUUUUUUGCAAAAAAGGGACCGAACAUCUACUUGCUUGUCUAGUAGGUGUUUGUUUUUUUUUUUGUAAAUAUUAAUAAGGAUGCGUUAUUGGUUUGAUAAGUUUUUCAUAAAUAAUUUAUUAGAAUAUAGAGCUGAAGUCAAGUCCUUAUGGCCUGUAUAUGCUGGGCUACACACGUGUUACAAGGGUAGAGACAGAGAGUAGCAAGUGUGCGAACAGGAGCAAGCCUCUAAAAAUUACCUUAGUUCGGAUUGUUUUAUGUAACUCUAAAGCAUGAAGUUGAAAUCGUUAGUAAUUACACUUGAGUAUGGUGUAGUGAAUGAAAAGUCAAAUUUUGCACACACUGCCCAUCACGCCCGAAGAAUUGGUCCGGAGGGAAGGUGCCUUGAUCGCUGUGGUGAGUUGUAGUAAAACAAGUCCCCUGCUAUAAUUAGUCAUUUACGGAUGGCGGUCUUUGUUCAUCGAAGUCAGUUUGUAUUUGUGUAAUUGACACAAGG
rnacentral:rRNA from 1 species